rnacentral:tRNA from 1 species
ACAUCGGUGGCACAGUGGUUAGUGCAGUCUGCCGGAAACAGAAGGACGUGGGUUCAAUUCCCGUCCGAUGUC